UACGAAGGGGGCUAGCGUUGCUCGGAAUGACUGGGCGUAAAGGGCGCGUAGGCGGACGGCUUUGUCGGGCGUGAAAUUCCAGGGCUUAACCUUGGGGCUGCGUUCGAGACGGGUUGUCUAGAGUUUGGAAGAGGGUCGUGGAAUUCCCAGUGUAGAGGUGAAAUUCGUAGAUAUUGGGAAGAACACCGGUGGCGAAGGCGGCGACCUGGUCCGAUACUGACGCUGAGGCGCGAAAGCGUGGGGAGCAAACAGG
rnacentral:rRNA from 1 species